rnacentral:rRNA from 1 species
AUUGAACGCUAGCGGGAUGCUUUACACAUGCAAGUCGAACGAGUGGCGGACGGGUGAGUAAUAUAUCGGAACGUGCCCAGUAGCGGGGGAUAACUACUCGAAAGAGUGGCUAAUACCGCAUACCAUCAGAUGAACCCAUAUGGGAUUAGCUUGUAGGUGAGGUAACGGCUCACCUAGGCGACGAUCCCUAGCUGGUCUGAGAGGAUGAUCAGCCACACUGGGACUGAGACACGGCCCAGACUCCUACGGGAGGCAGCAGUGGGGAAUAUUGCACAAUGGGCGCAAGCCUGAUGCAGCCAUGCCGCGUGUAUGAAGAAGGCCUUCGGGUUGUAAAGUACUUUCAGUCGGGAGGCGUUACCGACAGAAGAAGCACCGGCUAACUCCGUGCCAGCAGCCGCGGUAAUUC